GUUCAGCAAUUCUUCUGCAGCUACUAUCAUCAUGUUUCUUCGUGUGCUUCUGGUUUGUGUGGCCCUCUUUGCAAUUGUGUGUGCAAAGCCUGGGGUUCUAAGUGACGACCUCAUUGAGGCUUCUCAGCCUGGCAGUGUUCGUCCAAUUGUUGUCCCGGAGCCGUCAACAGACCAAAAGCAUCGCACCUUUGUAUUUUUACUGCCACUGCUGUUCCCCAAUCAAUUCUACUCAUAAAUAUGCAAAUAAAGUCAACUGAAUGAGCUUAUAA